GUGAAGACCACAGUUUCCUGUCGCGUGGAUGUGUUUCCUCUCUGGCCAUUGCCAUCCGCCCAAAUCUACAGACAUCCUGCAUGUUCCCGGGCUCGUCUCCCCAAUACAGGGCACCAAGGCUGUAGACUGCGCAGCCCUCCUGGAGACAGAUGGAAGCUCCUUGGGUCGACAGAUUACAGCUUCUGGAACCCCCUACUCCCUUUAACUCCGAGAUGGACACUCACUGUCCAGGGAGAGGAUGCCUGGAAAUAACAGCUGGGAUCUACAGUGGCCAAAGAGUUGUCUCCGUCUUGCUACAUCGACAAACUGGUGCUCCUGAGUGAGGAUUGUGCCCUGGGAUGGGGGAUUCAGUUUCUUCAUUUAUAGUUGGAAGUGGGUGAAGGUGAGGUGAGGCUGGGUUCUUUGAGGUGUGCCUGCUUGUUGCUGUACCCACUUGGGAUCUGUGUCUUGUGUGUCCUGUGUUCCCACUGUCGCUUCUGUACCCCUCUGCUUUACUCUGGUGGGUGGAGAGCAGAAUGGAAAGGAGCCAGAAGAUUUUGGGGGUCAUAUGCACCAUCCAGAUUUCAGCCACUGCUCUCUGCUGGCUUCCGGGCCUUGUCUGGUUCUUGAUUUCCUCAUCUGAAAAAUGGGACUACCUCUGUGACAUAAGAGUCCUGUCACCUCAGUUCUGCCAGCUGGGCAGGUUGCACUGAUCUAAGACAGCAAGUGCUGAGCCUACUGCAGGUCUCGUGGCCAGUGCUUAUUAGAACUGUCACCUCCUCCCGGCCAGUCUUCCGAGCUCUCCUUAAGGACCGCUGUUGCUCAGUUAGGAGCAGCCUCUUUCCUUUGUUGGCUCUCUGGCUGUUGCCUAUCUGUCCGUCUCUUUCCAGUUUAACCAUUACCCAGCUCUUGGCCAUAGUCUUCCUUGCCCUCUGCCCCUGUAUUCGAAAGUGAUUGUGGGCUGCCUGUGCCCUGGUCAUUGAUACUGCAGGGAGAGGAUUCGGAAAGCCUUUCCCCGUGUUUGGAGGAUCCACACUCGUCCUUGCCAAACCCUGGUGCUUUCCCACAUUGCCCGCUGCCUGCCGUUCUGGCACUUCUGGGAAGCAGUGGUAGGGAGCUCAGACGGUGGCUGCUUCCUUCAGAUCCUUUCUCAGCCUCCACACCCAGUUGUCACUUCUUCAGGACACAUGAGAAAGUGUAGAAAAUGUCCCGUUGCUUGACUGCUAGAAUGCAUCUUGCAAGUGUUCUGUUAGUCAAGAGGCAGGGUUCUGACUGAACAAAUGAACGAUCAAGGGGCAAUCACUUUCUGUAAGGCAUUGUCGUGUGUAAACUGGGUAAACAGCCUGACAGGGAGGCCCAGGAGGGAGCAAAUUUGCCGUUUUGCCUCCUUGAAUUCUUCCCUCAUGGCCUGCUUUUGACUCUUGCCUUCGGUAGCCACUUCGGAAGCGUUUUCCUCUCCACUCUGUGACAACAGGCAAGAGUGAGGGUCCAACAAUACAGAGGAAGUAACGUGUCGCUGCUACUCUUCCAUGCCCAGUGCCAGGAGCGACAGUACACUCCAGAGUGCUGUGCCCUGAUGGGCCUUUGAGCGGCCAGUGCAGUGGAUCAUCAGCCCUGUCUCCCAAGAGCUCCAAUCUCUUCUCUGGAGAGGAAGGAAGUGAGUCCACUGGCAGCUCAGGAGGCCAUAGCAGGAUUGUCACGUGUGCUCAACAGUCCUCCUCAGCUUUCCAGAAGAGGCUGGAACAGGGCCCUUGAAGAUGUUUGUGGACAUCAGAGGGCCAAAGACGACACAAAGUGAAACUGGAGACACCGCCCCCCUUGGCAUCAUGAAACUGCCGAUGUUACUGGCUCAUGCAUGGGAGACACCAGCAUACAAAGUCUUGACACCAACACCUCAGAGGGCUGGCUGUGUUCUGUCCCCGUGACCAUCAUCUAGUGCCUGGAAAGACUAGUGACAAGAACUUGUUGCCAACUUCCUAUUACCUCCCUAACAGUUGUGCAAUAAACCCCAUAGGUUAAUUCAGUCUGCCUUUUAAA
ensembl:processed_transcript Snhg17 small nucleolar RNA host gene 17